rnacentral:rRNA from 1 species
UCGGGGACUCUAGAGAUACUGCCCGUUAACGGGAGGAAGGUGGGGAUGACGUCAAGUCCUCAUGGCCCUUAUGCCCAGGGCUACACACGUGCUACAAUGGGCGGUACAAAGGGUAGCGAUGCCGCGGAGGUGAAAGCCCAAAUCCCAAAAAGCCGUCCACAGUUCGGAUUGGAGUCUGCAACUCGACUCCAUGAAGCCGGAAUCGCUAGUAAUCGUGGAUCAGCAUGCCACGGUGAAUACGUUCCCGGGCCUU